UAAUGUAUGGGGAUCUGCCCGAUAGAGGGGAAUAACUACUGGAAACGGUGGCUAAUACCGCAUAAUGUCUACGGACCAAAGCAGGGGCUCUUCGGACCUUGCACUAUCGGAUGAACCCAUAUGGGAUUAGCUAGUAGGUGGGGUAAAGGCUCACCUAGGCGACGAUCUCUAGCUGGUCUGAGAGGAUGAUCAGCCACAUGGGACUGAGACACGGCCCAG
rnacentral:rRNA from 1 species